AAAUAAAAACAAACAUAAAAAAUUAUAAAAAUAUUAAUUUAAAAAAUUGAUAGUAUGUGGUAUGUAGAGCAGGCCCAUGAAGGGGGACGAGUGGAAGGAGGGAGGGGCCCUCCGGGAGCCAAAUUUGGGCUAUCACAGAAUAAUAGGACUCGUGUAGGGGGAACAAAAAUAUUGGUGGGGCCGGGGAGGUUCCUCCCACCAAUAGGGUGGUGGGUCCUCCCCAGGUCAUGAAGGGGAGAGUGCAAUUGUGCAAUGCUCUCUCAUCAACUGCAGUAGCUUACGUAUGCUUCUGGACAGCUACUAUGCAAGCAGUAAAAAAUUGGGAGUUGGUGCAAGUAUCAAGGACAUUGAGUAUAUAAAUUUGUGGAACAUAUUGGCUUUGGUCAUUUCCAUGUUCCUUCUAAUUAAUCACUAUAUGCGAACAAUUGGUACUAACUAUGCAAUUAAAUUAAUCAGAAAAAAUA
rnacentral:misc_RNA from 1 species